CUGAAAGACCCUCUAAGGAGUCAGAUCUUCAGUUUUUUUGUCGGGCCACCGGGCAGGAGUCCUGCAUGAGAUGCUGCAAGUUCAGAUAUUAGUGUGACUGAGUUUGCAUCGCAGCGCAGUGAAAGCGGUCAGUGUUGGGAGGGUUUAAUCCCGGUCCUGGACCAGUUCUCCUGCGGCGUCGCCACCUGAACCCGCAGCGUUAAACCCCCCCACCCCACCUACCACUGAGAACCGGAAAGAAAAGACAGAAAGAAGGACAGAAAAAAACUUGAUGCCCUUUUGUAAAGAGAUCCAGUGAUUUGCGGUGAUACGUAAAAUGACUUUCAAACAAGAAUUUCCACAUGCAAUGCCCUGCCCUUUUCUUCAGAGUCUGCCUUUUUAUGAUCUGUAACACAUUUGUUGUUUGAACGGAGGAGUAGACUGUCGAGAUAAAUCUAAUCCAGACUCCUUUAAAUAACAUAUAGAGAAGCGCGAGCCUGUCAAGAAAAAAAAAGGAAGCAGGGAGGAAGGAAGAAAAGAGCACAGAUUGAGCAUUUUCCUUCGUUCUUCUCUUCUCAUUCCUGGACAGACAAGUGAGCGCCCUUCCUCGUAUGUGCUGGGUGAGAUGAACUCCAGUGGGAAUACUGUAGACCCCACCUGACAGCUCUCUGCCUGAGCAACCGAAAGCUUUUCACUGGAGCUUCCACAACCUCACAGCUGGAUAACAAAGCAGCGGCCUAAAAAUCCAACAUCUCAACGGUGAUGUUCGUUUGGGACAAAGAAAUUUAAAAUAUUUAUGUUAUUUUUGGGCUUGUUAAGUGAUGUAUUAUCUUUAGAUAGGUUGAAAUCUCUCACCAGAGGAAACUGAAAAAUAAAAGGAUACAAACUAAAUGUGCUGAAAGCUAAGAAAUGGAAAAACCUGUUUGUCAUUCUUCUCCAGACUUGUGAUUUUCUCCUUUUCCUGUUUGAGA